UGCUCCCUCCCCUACUUAAAUUUAAAAAAAAAAGGAAGAGUUGUUAGUUGCUGAUGUCAUCAAAGUGCUAACAUUAAUCACUCACAGCAUCACCAGUCCACACACAAGACUAUAUAACAGGGAUGCUCAGGCAGCAUACUGCCAAGGGGAGGCAAGCAAGAGAGGGGGGAAAAGACAUUAUUUUUUUCUCCUGUGUGGUCUUUGAAAAGCAAGGCAACAACAUCCUUAGACAAGAUGUGCUCUUGCAUGAAUUUAAGUGGAAGAGACAAAGAAACCAUGCCACCAGCAGCAUCGGAGAAAAAAACUGAAAUCACCAAGCAAUGAGAAUUCAGUCCAGAGAAUCUAAGGAGAAGAAAAAGCAAACUGGCAAACAGAGAUCAGUCAAGAAAUAAUUCAUGUAGAAAGGGGUACAAAAAAUUUGGUGUUUGUAACAUUUUCACAGCAGCAUCGCCGUAAAGAAAUUCUGAUCUGGAAUUUCCAUCAGGGAGUGACGAGCACCACGAUUAAAACACAAACAACAUCUUCAGUGCUGCAGCUUCUCAGUCACUGCCAAAGAAUAUCUUCCCUUUGCACAGGGAGAUCAGCAUCAAGAGAGAAAAAAAACUCUGAAGCAACAUCCUGAUGGGAAUAACUGUCCAAAACAUCACAGGAAACACAGCAAUGGUAAUUUGGCCGAAAAUGGCCAGUUGUGUCGACAGCUUUUACAGCAUCAUGUACCACCCUAACUGGAACAGCAUGCUAUCCAGCUACUCCAGAAAGAGCUUCCAGAAGGAAGAGAGGGUGCCCACCACUCGUUCCUCCUUUGUUGUUGAAAACCUGAUUCCCCUCACAACAUACAUCAUGUGCGUGACCUGCCAGUCCGCAAACCCCUCCAGCGACCAGUGCAGAGUUUUUAACACACUAGAACGAGACCCGGCAUCUGGAAGCAACACCAAGAAAGAGCUGGCACUGGGCAUCUGGCUCACCAGCAGUGUCCUGCUCCUCAUCAUCGCUGCAGUCCUGCUCUACGGCUGCCUGCACCUCCUGUGCCGCAGGAGACGCGAGCGUUUGCAAGAGCAGAACAGGACCUCCAAACAAGAGCACAGGGAGCCAUGGACCAAAAGCGCGGCAUACACCUCGGUAGAAUUCAGCAGGCAGAGCCACCAGACACAGGAUGCUGAGGAAAAGCAUCCAGGUGGCAUCCAGCUGGCCACAAUCAUAGAGAAUCCCUCAGUGUGCAAGGAGCCUAUCAUGCCAUCUUCUAAAAGCCAGGAACAAGUCCCAACACCAGGACAGUGCUCUGCUAUAAAUUAGAAACCUUUUGUCCAGGAGAAGUUUUUUGCUUUGUACGGUCCCCCAACUACUUCAAACACACCACGUGCACUGUCAGUGCUCACAAUAGGGAGCUCCAACUGCUCACCACAGCACUCUUGGCUGUACUUCUGAUGUCACACCCCUUUCCAACAGCCUAUAUGCAAAGGCUCACAUGCCCAAGAAGUGAGCACUUCAGCCACCCUCCAUUAUUUAAAAAUUAAGCAUGUAGCAAGUAAUUGGUUUACAUUUCAAGGGGAUAUUUUUGUUGCUUUUCUUUAGUCUAAAACAGCAAACAAAUAUAAGAAGUAAUCAAAAGUGACCAAAAGAAUUUUUGUUAACUAGCACAAAUAAAACUGAGUAGGAGUUUUCAGAUGCCAUUCCCAACUGCUACACUAUAGGCGACUGGAACAUACACAUGGAGUGCAGUGGUUUGCCAGUGUGAGUUUUACCCUGACAAUUCCAGCUGCUUCCCAAACCACACACUACAGCACGACAUUCAGACUACACACUUCACUGCCCACAGCUGUCCAUCCCUCCCAUCUGCACUGAGGUCAGUCUCAAAAUGUAAGCUAAACUCACCAGGAUUUUAAUUGUAUCCUCUCAUCCAUUUUAUUUUCCCUCCGUUUAAAUACAUGAAAGAUACUGACUUUGUAAGGAUGCUUCUAAUUAAGGAAAUAUCCUGGGUUAUCACAUUUGGCACUCUUCUGCUCCCCCCAUAAGCAACCUCCUGCUCCAUGGGCCAGCAACUCCCUGCAGAGGAAAUGGAAUUCAGAGACACAGCUCCUGGCCCUUCCUUUUCUCUUUCCCUUUCAGUUUUAAUGAUAACUCACAUUAAUCAGCUGCAAAUUUCUUUCCAAUUGCACAGUACAUUCUGUGUAAUGUGUUUUAAAAAAUACUGAAAACAUGCCAAAAUGCAUUUUAUUUUUGUAACAAGAAAACCUGCUGAACAUCUCACUCUGCCUUGAGCUUCAUGGCAAAGUGCCAAGGUCCUUCAGACAGAAAUCUGUUCACUCUCACAACAUGACAAGUGUUGUCUGAUUUACAUUUAUAAGUCACCCUGUUUUAAACCUCUUAAGUGCAUUUGUGUUCCAUAAAAAACAAAAUAAAUCUUAAUAGUGCUGUAUAUUACGCCUAAAGAACAAAGGUGCACUGUGACUGCAGACACCUAAUUGCUAUUGGUACGAAUUAUGUCUGAAGUCAGCUCUCACUGACACAGCUCGGUUGUAUCAGUGAAGGCUGGAGAACUGCUGGCUGGGCAGCUGCCAUCCCACUCCAUUGAGCCCUGGAAGCUAAGGGGGGUGCAAUUUUGGCAAGAGAUCUCCCCAUGAAUGUUUCACAGCAGGUAGCGGAUCUUUUCAGCUACUCUAUUUUGACAACAAUUCCCACGACUUGUGAAAUGCAUUGACUCUCAGAGUGCUAGGAAGAAGCUGGCGUAAGUGUGAGGAAUCUUCUUUAGGUUUUUUUUGAGUAGGAUAAGCAUGACACACAGAAAUGUUUGCUGAACUGGGGCGAGUAUGACUUUUAGAAAACACUUCAAAAGGCAUUUUUAUUGUGUGAAGUUAGCAACAACAUGUUCUCCACCUGCUGUGGAGCAUUUCCUCCAGCUGACACGUUUUUCUUUGUCUUGCACGUCAGUCUCAAAUAAACUGUGAGAGUAACAAGUUCACUGCUGUUUCAAAUGACGGUGUUACAUGAAAUAGGCACUGAAAAACCCUCGUCAGAGCAUGAAGCCAACACAACAGGUUUACUGCCAAAAAGGGGUGCCUGGGUAACAAGGACAGAAAAAAUGCUUUAAAAUUAUCUUGUAAUCAAAUUAACAGUAACACUUCUCUGAUUAGGUUUUCAUCAAAAAAAGAUGACUUUAAUGUUAAAGGGAUGAAGCCAAGAGACAUACAGUCAGCCUCUGCCAACAUCUUGGGUUCUUGGAAACCUGUUUACUUCUCUGCAUGUCCAUUUCUUUAUGAGGGUUUUAGGGCAGUCCAAUACAUAUAUUUACACACAUUCAUGUUAUAUACACAUGUACAUUCCAUACUGAGAACAAGGAGCAGUUCAGCCUCAAAGCAGUUUCGAGGCAAUUCACCUACUGCAUUUUGUUAUUUGUACACAAACACAUACAUCCAAAAGAUGUGUCUAUAUCCAACUAAGAAGGCAAAGAGCUACCACGGAAGUGCUCCCCAAGGGAUUUACCUUCUCUAAAUAUAAAACCAUUCCACCCACAGAGUUUACUGUGCACUACUAAGAUAAACAUUUAUAUCAUCUCAGAAGCAAUGGACCAUCUCGCACCUGCUGCAAAUGAGCAACUCAUGCAGAGUGUCAUCUGUUUUCUGCUCUAGUUUUGAAAAACUCAUGUUAUCACAUGCUCACAGAGCUACAUGAUUCUUUGUGUCUUGCUGAGAAAGUUUUAUUACAGAUUAAUUCAGGUUCAUUCUGGCAAUUUUGUAUUCAAUUUGGUAAUUCAACACUCAGUUUUAACAGUCAUCUAUCAAGGGGCAAAUAUUCUGAGUGAUUACCAACUGAUAACAAUUUGCAACAUAGUGCAAACUAAUUUUAAUUUGUGCACCAGCAGUAAAUAAAAACCAUUAUAUUCACAGUGAGAAGUAUAUUUUAAACAUGUCUUUUUCACAAAACAAAUGAGUUAGCACCUACAAAAUGCUGGAGACAUAAAAACAUGGCAAUAUUUGGAAAACAUUGUUUAAGACAGAAAGAAAGCUCUUCUGUUCUGGUCUACACAACCUCUAUAAAACCAGGUAUUUCUAAUAUAGGCCUAUCCAGUUAUGAAAUUUGCCCCAGAAAUGUAAGGAAGACUCCCCCCCCUUGAUUGCUGCUGCUCAUACAGAAAAAUGAUCAGGAAUUCUGAAAAUGUAUAGCUCUCAGUGUGAAAUUACUAAACCCAUUUUUAUUAUGUAACUAAAAAAAAAAGUGUUCCCCAGUUAAUCUUCUGUCACUCACCCCACUGUAUCAUCACUUAGAUAAAUUAAGUUAGCAAUCUCUAUGAAAUUCAGUUGUGUUUUUACUCUACACUGCAUCUGGUCAAUUCCUAAAAUAGUAAGGAACACAAUAACUCUAAUGUAAGAAAAUCCCACUUUCCUAUAAUUUACUGUUCCUUUUUGGAGAACAAUUAUAUAAAACACUGUUCACAGGACCAGACAGUCAGCUGUUACCUUCCACAGUAAGACAUGUGAAUCCUUUUCCACCCCCAUUACAUUUUAAAGGCAUGAAAGUUUUAUAAAUGCAGCAGAUAUUUUAGGACUGAAAUUUGUAACUCCUGAGAUAUCUCUUCAGCUCUCAAAACCUAGACUACUGGGUUGAAAUUGCACCAUAUAACUAUGGUAUGAUGUGUAGAAAAUAACAGUAAGACAAGGACUAAUUAUGUUCAUGUUUAAGUAGAAGGUAGAUAUUGAAAGUAGCUAGCCAUAACACUUACAUCACACUUGUAUAAAUUAGAUGUAUAAUUGAGUACAUAUUUUAAAUAAUUUGAAAUAAUAAUAAAUAAUUUUAAGCUUUUUUAUUGUCCAUCCUCUAAUUUAAUCCUUAUAUUUUCAUUUAUCUUUUCCAUACUUCAGCUUGCCACCCUGAUACUCAAGAAAACAUUAUGAAAUUUAGAGCGACAGCUUGCUAGAUAUUCUCGAAUGAUUUGCUGAAGAUAGCACUGCUGUUAGAAGUAGAUCAAUAUUUCAGACUAGAUAUUAAAAAUGCACAUAUAUGUUAAUGCACUAUGCCUUUAACUGUCAUUAAGACUCAGGUAAUAAUUCUGAAGAAUAAGAAAACAAAUCUGCAGUGAUCAGGGAGAACAAAUCUAUCACCCAUGAGCAUAGCAUUGGUCCUGUGAGUACAGGCUAACUUUCCUCACUUGGGUAGCUCACAGCUGUUCUCUUGUGCCAAGUACUCUUCCAACUUGACACCCACAUAAGCUCCUUUCCAACCUCACUAUUGGGGACUGCCAUAGGGACAUAGAGUAUGUGACUGCACAUGGUGCACACUUCUAUUGAAAACUUGCAUAAACCUCGCAAGCCCUCCUAACUGCAAAGCAAGAAACAUGAUGCUAAUACAGAAGAUGAGAUGGCCAGCACACCAAGGUCAUCACAAUGAAUUUGAACUCAUUGGUUAUAGAUGCCAAAGAAACACUACCUUUUUUUAAAAAAUAAUUGAAGUAGUUUGGUAUCUGAUAUUUUAAGAUGGUCAGAAUCAAUAUUCCUUUUAAGUCAGGUAAUAUCUGAAGCAGUUUUUCCUAUCUAUUCCCUUUUCCUCUGUCAUCACAGUCUUCAUCACUGUAACAAGAGAGCUGCACCCAAGAUGGGCUCUUAUUCUGACUUCACCAGAUGAGUAAUUAAUCUUUACUUAUGAGUCUGCUCUGCCACUAUAAGCAACUGAACAACACAAGGUGGUUGAGAGAAGGGCUUAUUUCUAGCUUUGUCAGAUAAGACUAACCAUCAGACUAAUCAACUGCACUUUGGCUGAAACAUACGGUGAGCUUCACAGGAAAGUCUUAAAAAAAGUGUAUGUUCAAUUUAAAAUACACACAAAAUGUAUUUCAGAUCAUUUCUAAUAACUUUCAUAUACCGUAGUUUCUAUGAUUUAAAAAGAUACCUUUAAACAUUAGCAAACCAUAAAGAAAAAGGGAAUUAUAUCCAACCUUUGAUCCAUAGAGAUACUGUGGCUGUGCAUUAGGCUGCUUAUCGCGCUGAAACUCCUGAGAAAAUGGUAGCACGGUCCGAACAAAUCUAUAUAAAAAACAAAAACAAGAAUUCAUUAUUUAUACUUAGGUUAGCAGAUGUGCAUCUCAUGCACCCUACCCUGUAGAAAACUGCUUUUGUCUGCAUAUACAAUCAAAGCCAGACCAGUAGCCUUUCACCCCUAGUAGAAACUGGGGAAGCACACAGCCUGAAUUGCCCAAAAGCAUGGACAGAAAUCAUACUGCAGUUCAACAAUUACUCUUCUUCCCAUGGUGUGCAGUGUACCAAAAUAUUCCUCACCUCUACGCUAGCCCAGGCCAGCAAAUAUGGAAGUAACUAACAAAGUAGCAAUAGUCUCUCACAGGGAGUAAGGAAACUCCUUGUGCUUGAAAAAUUAAGUCCUUGAGAAAGAAGUACACCUUCAAAGAAGAACAUGACAUUUCUGUUUAAUGUUUUGGAGCUUUUCCCCCCAAAAUUCACAUCAGGAGAAAUAUGUUAGGUUGUCACCUUUAAAAAAGGUCACGAGGAAGGAAGGGUAUAAUCCUCGCAGCAAAAUCAACGUUUCAAAAGUUUGAUCAUACUUCAGUGUGAGCACGUACCAAUACAAAUCACGCUUAGCUUUACCUUUGCACACUGUUAAGAGGAUGGCAAGAGAACUACAAAGAUAUGGAGCACUGCCAAAGACAGGAUCAGCCAUCUCACUCACAGCUGAGGGCACCAGAGUCUGAAGGACCAUUCCAAGUCCUCCUGUGAACAAGCAGCACAAAUCUUCCCCCUUGAUGUUCCCUGUUAACUGCGUAAUGCACAUUUGGCAGCACCGCAGUUUUAGUGCAGGAAGAAGUUAAUCAAUAUCUACUAUAAUUCUGAUUCUGCUUAACUUGACUAAACAGAGCAAAGUUACUGGGGGAUGUGUUCAAGAGUUGGAUGGCCACUUUAUUUUUUACCUUGAUUAAAAAGUAUUUCUUGAUAAAUGGUGCAACCCUGUGUAUGCACAGCAAAGAGGGAAAAUAGCUAUUUAAGAAGUGUAUCUCAAAUGGUUGUAUAAUAUCAGCCAGGUCUGAGUGAUAACUGAGCAAAAUAAAUGUAUCUAGGAAAAUGUUUCAGGAAAGAAAACUUGCCUUACAUUAUAAUAUCAUAAGAUACAAUUGUAGCUUGAUCCUUUUUUGUUUAAUCUAUUUACAUUUAAUCAGCAUACAAAAUUAAUUAUUCAUUAUUAAUUCUUCCUAGAAAGAACACAGACAUUCUACUUUUAAUAUAUCCAUCUUGUAGCUAAAAACAAAAACAGCCAUGUCAAUCAAAAAUUGGUUCACCCAGACAGGUAUCAAUUGCACCAUAUUGCUUACAAUUAUUUCCACGGUGUUUUAUUUCUGAAUCAUUCCUGUGAGAAUCUAUAACUUCAGGACAAUGUUUUCUGCAUUUUUAACCUUCUCAAAAAUAGGUACAGCUACUUGCUCAUACAUAGUUCAGCCCAUCUUCCCAAAAAUACUCAUACUUGCCAUAGUCCAGAAAGAGUUUGCAUUUAGAGCUUCUGAGGAAAAAUACACUAUUUAUAUGUGUUUUAUUGAUACUAUAUAUAUUAUUUAAAUCUCCUUACAUUUAUAUUCCCUCAGUUUACAGGUUUCUCCCCUUCUCUCUCACUUACAUAGAAACUGAAAACUCUCCUUUGAGAGAGAUUACUUGAAUCUUUAUUCUGCAGAUACUUCAUUAAUGAGUUUACCAGAGAUGAUGUAAACAUUUGAUGGAAUUCAAAGUAAUCUGCAACAUAUGACAGUCCCCGAGAUUACUCUAUUCCCCCUUUUUUCUCUCUAAGUCCCACUCCUUUUUAAACUGACAUCAAUUUUCAAGCCCUAAGAGAAUCUCUGAAAUGAAACCAUAGGAGAUACCAUGUCAUUUGAGAUAAGACUGGGUUUCAGUGUGCAGACAUUUGGCAAGAGCAGAUUUGCUACCACUAAAUUAAAAUGCUCACAAGGAAAGGAGCAUUUCAAAAUAUAAGUGGGUGUAUCCCAUGACUCUGGAAGCUGUAACUGUAAUUCUUAGACUUCUCAAAACGGUGUUGUGUGUAUAAUAUCUCAAUUAUAAUGUAAUUAGUGUCUGGGAGCAAACCAGUCAGUGCAAGUAAAUGCUCAAGUAACUCUUGUGUGUUUCUCAGUGUUCCUCUGCAUUCUUGGGGGUUUCUCCAUCUCUAAUGCUUUAGAGUAGUAGCAAAAUAGCCUUAAAGUUUUCUUAAAGACUUGAAGCAAGCACAAUUGCUUAUACUUUCUUGGAUGAAAGGGGUCAAGAGAGGAAGAAAAAAAGUAAGGAAGUAGGAGCAAAAGGUAACAGUCACUUGUUAAGUUAUGGAGAGGCAACGUCUAAGAUUGAGGCUACAACAGCCUAAAGAGUGCAUCAUUCUAGAAGGUAUGUGACUACUCCAAACAUAUCAUUCAGGUAAGUAUUAGAAAUUUCUUCCCUCAGAACUAAGGGCUAUAUGAAAACCUUACAGUUCAACAUUAUCUAUUGUUCUUCAAACUUUUUCAAUGUGCGUGUGUGUGUGCACUUUCUUUCUGACAUUCUGCUGGUUGGCUUCCUUCUGCUCCUCCUCCAAGAAAGAGAAACAUCUCUUUGAAGGACUGAAGCUCUUUGACUAUCAAAGCUAAAGCUAAGCAAAGUUUAACUUUCCCCUGAAUACUGACUGGAUGCAGGUUUCAGCAUACUCUGAGAUAACCAGUUUCAUUUUUAAUCAGUGUUGAUAAUCUCACAGCAAUUUAUCCAUUUUAAUCAGAACAGGUUGUCAAACUAGAUUAAGCAGAUGAAAAGCCUUCUGGCUUACCGAAGCUUUGCAAAUGAUUGCUAGAGGAUAACAUGAGCCCCCAAAGUAAGUAUUUUAGGGAUCAAAUAAUUUAAUGUUAGUUUUUCUGUGAUACCUACUGUGAGCACUUCACAAACUAAUCUAAAUGAUUCUUUGAUUUUAAUUACUAUAAUCUAUUUAAGGAGAUAACUGAAAGAGACCACUUUGUUCAAUGACCCUGCUGCCUUGCUACUGCAGGCACCAAGUCAGACAAACCUCAUUCAUAAACUUUCUUAGCUUCAUCUUUGAAGUAACAAGCUGUGACAAUCUUCCCUCCCUGCUCCUACAGAAAGUGUUCUCUGCACUUCUCUGUCUAAUUGGUAAGAACACUUUUAACCUCCAGCAUUCUCAAAUUAGUUUGUCCUGUCUACCAGAACUAAGGGUAGCCCUACACCUCCUCUCAGUGAACACUAGAUCUGACUCACCCUUCUUAAACACAGAUGUCAAGAUGGAGAGAACAGAGGAAACAGCAGGGAAAAUAGCGCAUGAGAGAGUAACAGAUCCACCAAUCCAUUGCUGUCACUUUUCCUUUUGGCAGAAAGACUUUGGUUGCUUGUUUUUUUAGGAGCGGAAAGGUAGUUGACUACAGUCACCCCUGCUUUGCAAGAGUCUAUAUCCCUGCACCAUUUGGCUCUUUGUAGCAGGAACUGCAUGGCUUUCACUGCUACUUUUCAGGUUUGCUCCAGCAGUAUCUGAAAGGGCUGAAAAUUUUUCUGAACAGUGACUGUCAGAGUAUAUGCAACACAAGAAGACACAGCUGUUCUCUUGUGAAAACCAUCUUAAAAGCAGUAUGAGAGAGAGAGAGCUUGCAAAAGGAAGGGGGAGAGACAGUCAGGAAGAGUGAAAAAUAAAAAGCUGGUCUUUUUGUUCCUUCUGUGACAAAUCUGUAUCCUUGGAAGAAACAUGUCAUAUUGCAUUUGGAAGAGUGCAUGAAUUUAUACUAGAGAACACAGAUUUGGGUAAUGUGUUAGAGGAGAUGGAGCUACUAGUUUAACUACUGUCUCCAAAAGCUUGUAUCAUUUGUGUCAAGAAAGCACAGAAAAUCUUCAACUCAAAUAUAUGUAAGGCUGUCUCACACUUGCUCCUCUGUUAGUCUUUAAUACAAAACAAGCUGUCAAGGAAGGAAAAGACCAGCUUAGAAACAUUAAAGAAAAUAAGGCAGAAAAAGGGACACCACAGACAGCGGAAAAGAAACAAGGAACAAAAACGUGCAAGUUGUCUUUGUGUCAUUUAAAUCUUCUGGACAGCCCUAGACAACCUAACUUCACAAGGAUAAAGAGGAAUGAAAAAGCACAGAUGCAGGCCUAAGCAUGACAAAUAUUCCUGGUGUGGAAAUACUUGUAGCUUGAAAAGACAUGCAGCUGAGGGCCAGCGUGAGAGAGGGCUCUUGAAAAACAAUCCCAGGCAGCACAGAAAAGACAAGUGGGAAAUGGCUGUUUAUGGCCACUUUCAGUAAAAGAACUGGUGGAGAAUAGCUUGAGAGCAUCUCAAAGAGAUGCAGCACAAGCUUCAUUGCAGACUCCUCACUGGAGCACGUAAGGAAUGCCAAAGCCUCGCACUGCUUUACAAAAGGGACAGGGCAAAACAACGGAGAAAAAUUAAUACCCCUGUAAAGGGCCACGAAUGCACUAACAUCCCACCAUGCACUAACAUCCCACCAUUUUCGUUUCACAGAAACAUCUAAUCAUUGCUAGAAGCUGGCAUGUUUCUUGGGAGAACAAUCACCUCAAGCCUCCCUUGUUUUCAUAUGCAGCCCCUUUACGGCUGCUGAUAGCAUCAGAACACUGGGCUAGAGACAACUUUGACCUCACCUGCAGUUCAUAUGCGUGUGCACUAUCCAAAGGUUUGUUUUCUUUCCACACAGGUAGAUUAAAAACGCCCUUAGAUUUCACUGCUAAGGCCCAUCUGCAGAAGUCCCCUCUCUCAUCUCCCCAUUCCUUCUCCACAAACUGUUGUCCCUCAGUCUGUGCAGCUGGCCAGCAUUAAUAAGACUAAAUUUCAGAUAAAUGGCAACUCCAAUUAUUAAAUUGCUAAAUCUUUUAAUAGCAGCCUCACUGUUUAAUCUCAGUACAUUAUCAGACAUAAAAAAAUUCCUAAGUCCCAAAUAAUUAAACAUGCAAUGUGUUUCAGCACUUCUGCAUGAAGAGUCUUAGCUUUUGAACUAAACCUGCAGGGUUUCUAAACAGUUGAACUCUUUUACAGAUAUAUGAAAUUUUCAUGUUCAAGCAUUCUUGGGAAAAGAACUUCAAAAGACAGAAUCUUGGAUCUAAAAUACAACAUAACCAUCACAGAACAUGUCAGACAAAGAAAGCUCUCCAAGAAGACAGUGAAAGAUGAGAACAGGCUUCCUCCUCUUCCUACAGCUCAAUAUUCACUAUCACUUUACUGUCACUUCACAGGGCUUUAACCAAAACCUGAGUAAAGACUAAAAGUAACACAAAUCCUAAAAACAGCACACGAGCAGGAAGUCCAGAUAUGCAAAAUCUUGAACAUUGUGCUUCCCCCUCAUUCAAACCUUAGAUCCUACCUUCCUCUUUCUAUUUCUAUUACUCACUCUCCUUAAAGGCUGCAACUGCAGUUGCAGUGAACACUGAACUCUUCCUUUAUCAAGGAAACUACUUUUUUCUUCACAUUAACACAGAAUCAGGAAUAUAAUUUUAUUUCUGUCAUCUCACAGUUGAAGAUCCUGUUUCAAAAUACCUUCCUGAGAUGCACUUAGCAUGUUUUGACACACUCUGUUUUUCAGCAUAUCAUAACUACGUCACCAAAAUGUCAGAAUUUGGAUGCUGUAGUUCCAUUUGCCUUCUAUUGUGGACAAAUAACACGCUUUCAUACAUUUAAUGGUACUUGGUAGAAUGACUCAUGCUGCUUCAUUUCAAGUAAAGCAUUAGAAGUGGAAAACACUAAAUGAAUGGAGAUGAACUUGUCAGCAUUUGCUAGGAAGGAAGUUGCAGGAGGGUGGUAGAAUAGCAGCUGCAAAUAAAAAAGCUGCCUUGCUAACCUGUUAGUGGAUCCAUUGUAGCAGUAGUUUGGAAGGAAAUCAUAAUUGAGUUCCCAAAAGACAUGAAGAGUGAUUCUGCCAUAAGGGGCUGAAACAUUGUGGUUGGCUUCUCUGAACAUGGCAUCAAAGCUGUCCAGGGUCAUGUAUCUACUCAGAAGCUUGUGAGUCAUUUUGUUUACCUCUAUCAAGCCAUCCAGCUCCUAUGAAAAACAAGACAAAAAAGAGAAUGAUGUAUUUAAUGAAGUGGAGGAACUGAACAAAGUACAUAAAUAACCUUGAUGGAACAGAAGACUAGAAAGAAGUCAAAAUGAACAACUGACUCUCGCCCAGCCUCUUACUUUAACAAUAAGGGCUGGAAAGAAUCAGUAUUCAUGGGAUUGUUUCUUAAACCUUCUGAGACUUUAAGGGUAUUCAGAUGCAGAUGGAUCUCAAACACAGACCUGUGCCAACACUUUCUCCACUGAGCAAAACUUAAAACUCCAACAUUUAAAUGGGGUCAGACAUAGGCCAAAAGCAUCUUUCUGCAUUUCCUACUUUACAAGCAGUCACAAAGUAAUUUCUGCUCAGUACAGUAACUGGUGAACUAACUACUGUAGUGGUAAUGUUAGGAAUAACAUCCCAUUUACCAUAAAUCCUUUUCAUGGCCUAUGCCAGUGAAGGAUGCACUGAGAUGCAAUGAAAGACCAGAUCAGACAUUUACAAAUGUAGUGAAGGUAUCCACAAAAUCACUUGCUGCAGGCUACAUAACUAUAUACGAGUACUGCAUUUCAUAAUGUUUCUCCUCUUGACAAGAAAUUCCUAGUAUCCUUUCUGGUAAUUAAAAUAAAAUAAAAUAAAAUAACUCCAUAUCUGACAUCAGACACUGAAAAUACCAAACACAAUGAACACAACCUCUACUUCCAAAAAAUCCAAGCACUGCAUUUGAAGAUUAUUGUGCAAUGACAUACUGAAGAAAUAUCCAGUGGCUUUUUCUAGCUGUGUAUCAAACUACUGGUCAUCUUCCCACAGACUGCUCUCUGAUUUAAGUGCUCCUUAUUUCAAAGGAGUUUUAAACCUGUGAGCAACAGCUACUUCAAGGAAAAAACGCCACUAUGAUUAUUAUUACAGAAUUAAGUCCAAAUUGAGGAAAAAAAAUAGCUCAGUCUUGUAAAUACCUUAAUUUAAUUUAUUUAGCCUGAAAAACAGCAAAAAAUGACAGAGUACUUAAUCUAUAAGGAUCAGUUUCUCACCGAAGAAACCAACCAGUUUUCAACAGAAGAUAUUUUGCAUAAAACAAACAAACAAAAAAAACCCACCAAAAAACUUAAACAAAACAAACAAACAAAAAAAAGAAGAGCAUGGUAAAGGGGCAACCCUUAGUUCUGUCACUUUCUUACUCAAAGAAUGAGAACCUGUGACCUAAGAAACACAUCAUCGACAGUUUCUGUUCACUCAGCCACUAAGAGUGUACUGCACAUAACAAAGAAAAACUACGUUUCAAUAAUUCAAAUUUAUAAAACCAAGUGUUCAGAAGUCAAGAGGCUCUAUGGCCUCAGUAUUUGAUUUCUCUUCAGUAAAGAACAAAAUUAAACCAAGGUACUUAACUGUAUGACAAAAUGUGACUGGUAAAAAACUUAUUACAGAAAGACCAACAGUAAACUCUUUUACAUAACUUUUAAUUUAUUUUUCAUUCUAGCAGAACUGAAUGUGCCUGAUAUUUUUCUUGCUGACUGCAUAUUUACUUGUCAAAUUCAUGCCGUCUGGAAAUAAAAUUUGGUUUUUAGCAUUUUAAUCAGGAAACUAACUCAAAAGGACACCUUAAUAUUGCACAGAUGCUCUUCUUCCACAGGCACAAGUCAGAUCUCAUUCCUCCACAAAAAAAUUUUUUUUGUCAUGCUACAAAACCAAGCUGCCUGAGUCAAUAAACUAAUUUUGAUUCUACCAA